GCGCUUCAUCUUCUCCUUGGGAAGACUCUUGGUGAAGGCGGGAGCUGGCGAAUCAAACGCCGCCAUCCACGUGUGAGCCAGGGCGUCUUCGCAGGACAUGCGUCGCCUACGAGACGGACACAGAGGAAGGCCACAACAUUAGAGCUGAUGAAAUGUUUGGCCUGCUCCGUGAUGUCCCCGAAGCUCUCCUCAUCAAACUCCCACUGGGCCGCCGUCACCAAGGCUAACGUGUCGGCGUCGCUGCUUCCCUGGAAAGGACACCACAGGGGGGCUGCCGGUGAAUCGACACUUGACCCUCGCCGGAUGUCCCGCUUUCACCUCUACGAAUUGCGGCGGGUUCUCCAAGCGCAACAUCGGACCUGCCCGGAUGAGUGCCAAAAAAAUAUAUAUUCUAAACCCCGUCGCUCUUAAGUCUCUUUCGUAUCAAGACUUCUUCAACAUCCUGUAGGUGUCACGGCCGGCGUACCGAGACUUUUAUUCAUUUAUUACUGUCCACACCCGCAAAUAAAAAGUAAAAUGAAGCACAGCAAGUCACAGCAUUAGACGUAAGGAGUAGAAAACAAAGAAGGACAAAAUCUUACCUGUCCCUGAGUUGGCUUUCUUCUUCGGAAUGACCUCUGCAAGGGAAAGACGGGAUAUUUAUAAAGGAGUGGGGUGCUAUUGUAGUCUUGGCUUCCCUUUAUGCCACUUGUAAUCUUUGGAGAAAUUUCCUGACGUCUCUGGAGCGCCGGAGAUGACACGUUUUCCUGUUUUUGCUUCCGUAAGACGUUUGCUCAAGGGGUCCUUUUUUGGAGGACCCUUGGAGAUUUUCAAAAUGGCUUCUUUUUUUGUGGGUUUAAUCAUUCUAUACGUGCCAACCAAAAUUAAUUAAACUGCUGGCUUUGGGGGAUUUUUCUUCAAUGCUAAUAAUAAUAAUUAAAAAAACAAACCUCUUGGAGAAGCGACUGGACUCUGCGGGUCUGAACUCGUAGGGGAAGUACCAGUGGAGCCUCUGGAGUUGUCAUUCAUGCUUGCCUCAUUUGCAGAAGCUCGACUCUGCACGCCACAAAUAGUUUCAAAGUCUGUUGGGCCACAAAAUGGCAAGAUAAGAGUUUUAUAAUGUGACAAGACGAGUGCAGCUAGAUGACAUUCUUCAUUCUAAUUGGUCCUCGCCUGUGACAAAGACAGCAGCGCAACAGGAAGUCUUCCCCGACGCGUUUUCCGCCACGCAGGUAUACGUGCCGGCAUCCUCCGGCAGACACUCACGCACGACCAAGCUGACGUUGCCUUCAUCCAGGCUGGGAAUUCCAAAACGAGCUGCCUCACCUGAAAGUUCACACCGAGAAAAGUGCUCAUAUCUAUAUUCUUUUAUUUCGACAGAUCUUUCCUCACCGUUGUGCAACCACGUGACUUUGAUGGGUCGACUCCCAGAGACGACACCGCUUAGGGGGAUAUCGUGGCCUUCAUCCACGCGGCAGUCACGCAAAGGGCGCACGAAAACCGGGGGGUCGCCGCGCUGGUGAGAGGGAGGAGUGCCUGGACGCAUGAUCGAUCAAGUGAUCAAAUAACCAAGCAGCGCACUCACCCGCAUCUGUCGUCACGCUCUCUGAGCCUCUCGGUGCACUCCCAGACUUGAUGUGCAUCCUGAAGCCGAGUUCCUGUCUUCUUGCGGCCGACGUGUGACAAAACAAGGCCGGCUCACUGUGCGUCCUCGCAACCACCCCCAGCGAGAUCCAGCUAGACUCCGCCCUCCCACCAGCAGCGCUACCAUCAACCUGCCCGCUACAUGCACCUUAUCGACGCUCAAAAGACCUUUCAACAUAUCAACACAAGGUGGAGACGUAUCUAGAGCCACCCAGCCAAAGGUCUCAUUGUGCUCAUUAUUUGUUUCGCUGUUUGCUGCGGGUGACUUGUCAAACAGAAGAGUCUGUUGGUGACCUGUGGAGGCGGGGUCAGCGCCCACUUGUGGACUGUAAAAAGUCUCAUAAAUGUUCAACUGUGCAGAUAUGAUGUCAUCCACCUGUGGAAGAAGAUGCCUUGGAGGCCCCCCUGUGGGAAACAUCUGCUCUUCAGGUGGCACUUCAACUGGCAUUUGUGGAUAUCACACCAAUGAGCCCCCCCCCCUCCCC